AGGAUGAACGCUGGCGGUCUGCUUAACACAUGCAAGUCGAACGGAGUAGCAAUACUUAGUGGCGGACGGGUGAGUAACGCGUGAGAAUCUACCUUCAGGACGGAGACAACAGUUGGAAACGACUGCUAACCCCCGAUGUACCGCAAGGGCAAAUAUUUAUAGCCUGAAGAAGAGCUCGCGUCCGAUUAGCUAGUUGGAGAGGUAAAAGCUCACCAAGGCGACGAUCGGUAGCUGGUCUGAGAGGACGAUCAGCCACACUGGGACUGAGACACGGCCCAGACUCCUACGGGAGGCAGCAGUGGGAAUUUUCCGCAAUGGGCGAAAGCCUGACGGAGCAAGACCGCGUGGGGGAAGAAGGCUCUUGGGUUGUAAACCCCUUUUCUCUGGGAAGAACGCAAUGACGGUACCAGAGGAAUCAGCAUCGGCUAACUCCGUGCCAGCAGCCGC
rnacentral:rRNA from 1 species